rnacentral:rRNA from 1 species
UGGGGGAUAUUGCACAAUGGGCGAAAGCCUGAUGCAGCGACGCCGCGUGGGGGAUGAAGGCCUUCGGGUUGUAAACUUCUUUUGCUCUGAACAAGGCAUGCCUUUGGGGUGUGUUGAGUGUAGGGGUUGAUUAGCGCCGGCUAACUACGUGCCAGCAGCCGCGGUAAUACGUAGGGCGCGAGCGUUGUCCGGCAUUAUUGGGCGUAAAGGGCUUGUAGGUGGCUGGUUGCGUCUGUCGUGAAAGCUCAUGGCUUAACUGUGGGUUUGCGGUGGGUACGGGCUGGCUUGAGUGCAGUAGGGGAGGCUGGAAUUCCUGGUGUAGCGGUGGAAUGCGCAGAUAUCAGGAGGAAUACCGGUGGCGAAGGCGGGUCUCUGGGCUGUUACUGACGCUGAGGAGCGAAAGCGUGGGGAGCGAACAGG